rnacentral:rRNA from 1 species
GACGAACGCUGGCGGCGUGCUUAAUACAUGCAAGUCGAACGGAAAGGCCCUGCUUUUGUGGGGUGCUCGAGUGGCGAACGGGUGAGUAUCACGUGAGUAACCUGCCCUUGACUUUGGGAUAACUUCUGGAAACUGGGGCUAAUACCGGAUAGGAGCUCCUGCUGCAUGGUGGGGGUUGGAAAGUUUCGGCGGUUGGGGAUGGACUUGCGGCUUAUCAGCUUGUUGGUGAGGUAGUGGCUUACCAAGGCUUUGACGGGUAGCCGGCAUGGGAGGGUGACCGGCCACAUGGGGACUGAGAUACGGCCCAGACUCCUACGGGACGCAGCAGUGGGGAAUAUUGCGCAAUGGGCGGAAGCCUGAUACAGCAACGCCGCGUGCGGGAUGACGGCCUUCGGGUUAUGAACCGCUUUCGCCUGUGACGAAGCGUGAGUGACGGUAAUGGGUAAAGAAGCACCGGCUAACUACGUG